rnacentral:tRNA from 1 species
GCCUGGGUGGCUCAGUCGGUUGAGCAUCUGACGGGUCAUCCCAGGUCAUAAUCUCGUGGUUCGUGGGUUCGAGCCCCGCAUCAGGCU